UAUGGCCAUAUCACGUUUAAACACCAGUUCUCGUACGAUCAUCGAAGUAAAGCCACGUCGACCCUGGUCAAUACCUAGAUGGGUAACCGCUUCAGAUUAACAGGUGCUGUAAG